rnacentral:rRNA from 1 species
AUUGAACGCUGGCGGCAGGCCUAACACAUGCAAGUCGAGCGGAACGGCGGGCGGGCGGGUAAUUCAUAGAAAUCGGCCUGGUAGUGGGGGAUAGCGACCGGAAAGGGGCGGUAAUACCUCAUGCUAGCAGUCGAGUCUAGCUGGGAUUAGCUAGCUGGUGGGGUAAGGGCCCACCUAGGCGACGAUCCGUACCUGGUCUGAGAGGAUGAUCAGUCACACUGGAACUGAGACACGGUCCAGACUCCUACGGGAGGCAGCAGUGGGGAAUAUUGGACAAUGGGCGCAAGCCUGAUGCAGCCAUGCCGCGUGUAUGAAGAAGGUCUUCGGGUUGUAAAGCACUUUAAGUUGGGAGGCGUUACCAACAGAAGAAGCACCGGCUAACUCCGUGCCAGCAGCCGCGGUAAUAC